rnacentral:rRNA from 1 species
UACGUAGGGUGCGAGCGUUAAUCGGAAUUACUGGGCGUAAAGCGUGCGCAGGCGGUUUUGUAAGUCUGUUGUGAAAUCCCCGGGCUUAACCUGGGAAUGGCGUUUGGGACUGGGAGUCUGGAGUGCGGCAGAGGAGACUGGAAUUCCUGGUGUAGCAGUGAAAUGCGUAGAUAUCAGGAGGAACACCGAUGGCGAAGGCAGGUCUCUGGGCUGACACUGACGCUCAUGCACGAAAGCGUGGGGAGCAAACAGG